ACACGUGGUGAAAAUAGAUGGAAAUCAAAAUUAUAAAUGUUCGUGCUUCCGUUCGUGUAGUAGUUACCCAUCAUUCUCUCUAACGUGAUCACCAAUUCAGGAUGAAAAUAGUUAAAUUUGUUGGCUUGCAGUGGGCUUGUGUUAUGUCUUAACCUAACAAUGACAAUAUUCUACAUUAAAUUUAAAAUACCCAUGAAUUCUAAACAUUCUCUUUAUCCAGUUAUUAUAAUAAACAAUAUUUUACAGCAGUAUGCCGCUCUACAUUUUAAAUUCCAACCAAAGACUAUUACAUACCAAAGAAGAAGUCCCCGUAACACCAUGAAAUAAAUAGAUAUAUAUUUCAUUUUCUUGAGGCAAACGCAAUAAAAAUUUGUGUCAACUAAUUUCUUCUUCGUAAGGAUUCCAAGUGAAAUAUUAUGCGAAUAAAGUACAGAUGCAAUGACAAGAUAUAAUCAAAGCUACAACAUGUUUAAAAAGUGUUCAAUCAAUUUACUGGAAAAGAGAGCGUAUGAUUUUCC
rnacentral:lncRNA from 1 species